rnacentral:rRNA from 1 species
UACGUAGGGGGCAAGCGUUGUCCGGAUUUAUUGGGCGUAAAGAGCGCGUAGGCGGUCCGGUAAGUCCGCUCUGAAAGCCCGGGGCUCAACCCCGGGAGGCGGGCGGAUACUGUCGGGCUAGAGUCCGGAAGAGGAGUGUGGAAUUCCUGGUGUAGCGGUGAAAUGCGCAGAUAUCAGGAGGAACACCAAUGGCGAAGGCAGCACUCUGGGACGGUACUGACGCUGAGACGCGAAAGUGUGGGGAGCAAACAGG